rnacentral:lncRNA from 1 species
GAUAGUUGAGAAAUUUAGUAUCUUAGUAAUUUUUAGCUGUUAUUGUGGAAGACCUCCAAGACAAGAUAAGGUACCCUUGAACAUGUGGUUUUAAUGAUAUGCCAUGUUACUAUCAAUGGUGUGUGUUAGCAGCAUAGCUAUGUUCAACUAAGGAAAUGGCUAAAUACCAGAAGUUUCCAGAGCCUUGGAACAGAUUUACAGGGGAACUCUAUAUGUAUGUGUAUAUUUUAUUAAACACCCAUCUGCACUAUUCAGUGUUGCACUAAUGUGGAAUUUGAAAAACUAUAUUGCUGAUACUGUAUAUCUGCACAUCAUUCCUGAUUAGAUUGUUUAAAAGACAAUCUCAAAGGUCUAAGGUUUUAAAAUAAUUUGGUUGGUUUGAAAAUACACAGUCAUCUUGAAGGAAUCACUGUCAUGCAUGAAGUUGCUCAGAGUGGUCUUUAUUCUCUUCUUGGUCAAGGUUAACAAUUUCUAAAUGAUUGC